UCGAGCGGUAACAGGAGAGCUUGCUCUCGCUGACGAGCGGCGGACGGGUGAGUAACGCGUAGGAAUCUGCCCAAUAGUGGGGGAUAGCCCGGGGAAACUCGGAUUAAUACCGCAUACGCCCUACGGGGGAAAGGCCGGGAUCUUCGGACCGGUUGCUAUUGGAUGAGCCUGCGUAAGAUUAGCUUGUUGGUGGGGUAAUGGCCUACCAAGGCGACGAUCUUUAACUGGUCUGAGAGGAUGAUCAGUCACACUGGAACUGAGACACGGUCCAGACUCC
rnacentral:rRNA from 2 species